rnacentral:rRNA from 1 species
UACGGCUCAGUAACACGUAGUCAACCUAACCUAUGGACGGGAAUAACCUCGGGAAACUGAGUAUAAUGCCCGAUAGAACAUUAUACCUGGAAUGGUUUAUGUUCCAAAUGAUUUAUCGCCGUAGGAUGGGACUGCGGCCUAUCAGUUUGUUGGUGAGGUAAUGGCCCACCAAGACUAUUACAGGUACGGGCUCUGAGAGGAGUAGCCCGGAGAUGGGUACUGAGACACGGACCCAGGCCCUAUGGGGCGCAGCAGGCGAGAAACCUUUGCAAUGUGCGCAAGCACGACAAGGUUAAUCCGAGUGUUUCCUGCUAAAGGAAUCUUUUGUUAGUUGUAAAACCACUGAUGAAUAAGGGGUGGGCAAGUUCUGGUGUCAGCCGCCGCGGUAAAACCAGCACCUCAAGUGGUCAGGAUGAUUAUUGGGCCUAAAGCAUCCGUAGCCUGUUCUGAAAGUUUCCGGUUAAAUCCAUUAACCCAACUAAUGGGCUGCCGAAAAUACUACAGAACUAGGGAGUGGGAGAGGUAGACGGUACUCGGUAGGAAGGGGUAAAAUCCUUUGAUCUAUUGAUGACCACCUGUGGCGAAGGCGGUCUACCAGAACACGUUCGACGGUGAGGGAUGAAAGCUGGGGGAGCAAACCGGAUUAGAUACCCGGGUAGUCCCAGCUGUAAACGAUGCAAACUCGGUGAUGCGCUGGCUUGUGGCCAGUGCAGUGCCGCAGGGAAGCCGUUAAGUUUGCCGCCUGGGAAGUACGUACGCAAGUAUGAAACUUAAAGGAAUUGGCGGA